rnacentral:rRNA from 1 species
UACAUAGGGACCGAGCGUUGUCCGGAAUCAUUGGGCGUAAAGAGCGUGUAGGCGGCUAUUUAAGUCCUGCGUGAAAUCCUGCGGCUCAACCGCAGACGGUCGUGGGAAACUGGAUGGCUAGAGUGCGGGAGAGGAGAGUGGAAUUCCCGGUGUAGCGGUGAAAUGCGCAGAUAUCGGGAGGAACACCGGUGGCGAAGGCGACAUCCUGGACCGGUAUUGACGCUGAGGCGCGAAAGCCAGGGGAGCAAACGGG